rnacentral:lncRNA from 1 species
GGCUCAGUGCCUGAUAGGCCAGUGCUGGUCACAUGUUUAGUGUUUGUGGUUUUGAUGUCACUUGUGGCUCAGUGCCUGAUAGGUCAGUGCUAGGCCCAUGGCUGCAGUUUGUAGUUGUGAGGUCACUUGUGGCUCAGUGCCUGAUAGGCCAGUGCUGUUCCUGUGGGUGGAGUUUGUGGUUGUGAUGUCACUUGUGGCUGAGUGCCUGAUAGGCCAUGCUGGUCCUGUGGGUGGAAUUUUUUUUGUGAUGUCACCUGUGGCUCAGUGCCUGAUAGGCCAGUGCUGGUCACGUGUGUGCAGUUUGUGUUUGUGAUGUCACUUGUGGCUCAGUGCCUGAUAGGCCACUGCUGCUCAUGUUGCUGCCGUUAGUGGUUGUGAUGUCACUUGUGUCUCUGUGCCUGAUAGGCCAGUGCUGGUCCUGUGGCUGCAGUUUGUGGUUGUGACGUCACUUGUGGCUCAGGGCCUGAUAGGGCAGGGGUGGUGCUGUGGGUGCAGUUUGUGUUUGUGAGGUCACUUGUGGCUCAGUGCUUGAUAGGCCAGUGCUGGUCACGUGUGUGUAAUUUGUGGUUGUGAUGUCACUUGUGGCUGAGUGGCACUCAGUGCACCCUCCCCUGUGCUCCCUGCAGGGCCUUGAGCUGGUGGUGCUGCUGUGCAGAGUGAGCAGGCUGUGGUGCCCUGGCGCCAUGGUGUGGCUCCACACUGGAUGUGGUGGUCAGGGUGAGAAGCAGACCCAGCUGGACAGGCAUCAUUGCACCUGACAACACCCUACCAAGGGAUCUGUGGCUGUGGAUGAUGCUCUGAGCAACCACAGGGCAUUUCAAAUGGCUCAGGCUGUGUUCAGGAGUGUCCCUAGAUGCAGCCCAUUGAAGGUGACAUGAACCACUCUCCAGGCUCCCUUCCAUCUGCCUGCAGGGUCUGCACUGCAGGCAUCUGCCACCAGCCCUGUCAUAUGGGAGACAGUGCCAGGCAGAUACCGCUUGACCGUUCAGCACCUCCAGGAGCACUGGGCACCCACAAGUGACAGCUGAAUCCAGCCCCCAUUCCCUAACACGUCAUCCCAUGAGCUCAUCACCUUCAGCCCAUGGAGAGCCUUGGAAAAGCAACAGUCCCUUCUAGGGGGAAAGUCCUGGAGCACAUUCUUGGCUCCAGCUGUGGAAGAAGAAACCAACUUCCAAGCACUGCACUGAGGAAAUCCCCUUUUAUUAGAGACAGGCCAGCUCUGACACAGUGAUAGACACAUUCACAGAAGGCCUCUGAGUCAGACAGAUGAAGUUCGUGCUGCUGGAGAAGUGGGAUGAAGUCAAACACUUUUG